GGAAAACUAGUCUGGCUGGUUCUACUUCAGCUCAAUCUUUGAGGGCAAUUUUUGCUGUCAGCCAUACCAGGGAAUAUUAGAGUAACCGUCGCCCUGAUGCCAGGUCCCUAUUUCAGGACGCAUACGCACACGCACAUGCACACACACGCACACACACACACAUACACUCAGAGUCACUGGAAAAUUAUAAAUUGACAUAACUUCCUAGAUGGCCUGAGGACUUCAGAGAGUUAGAGAAGCAUCAAUCAGAUAAAACCUGUGUCUGUCACCUAUGUUUUAAAAUGUUACAGUCAUGUUUAAAUAGCUGGCAGCCCCCUGCUCCCUGGCUGAAUGCCGUGAACACAGUCUUCAGCACACCUUGUCAUCAGAGGAACUUUCUGGAAGCCAGCCAGCUGCAGGGCCCAAGGUCGAGCAACCACCAUGACUCUCAGCAACAAGGAGAACCUUGGGGGACCCGAGGAGGUGAUGGCAGGUGGAGAGGCAGCUAAAGUCCUCUGCAGAGCUGCCCGCUUGCCACUGUGGCUCUGUUGAUGGCAGCGGCUGCUGUGACCGCUGGGAAGGCUUUAUCUACUGAUCAACACAGUGUGCCAGAGGGCUGAGGGGACAGCCCGCUUUGGCAGAGGGUUCCAGUUGUAUGUAGCCUGCAACCAGACGGCAGAAGGGAAAGGGGAAAAAAAAUUUCCAACAACAGACCAGCAGGAUCAGUUCCUUAGAGCACAGACACCAGGGCUGGGCCUUGCUUGCUCCAUCCUGGCUCUUGCCGCCGUGGCUGCCUGCUUGCAUUAAUUACCUCUUGGUCCCAGACACAUUUACUCCAAACUACCUUUAGGGUUCAAAGUGCAGGAACAGAACCACUUGGGUUGAAAGCAAUUAACAAACAGGUUAUUUUAAAUUAACAGACACUUUUACCAGCUGGCCCAAAGAGCUGGUUCACGCCGGUCAUUGCAGGGCUGGCAACGCCAUGUAUCUGGUGAAUGAGCGAAUGGGUCAUGUGCUUUCUAGCAAUGCUGGCUAAUUUUAUUUUGAGAUUUAAAUAUCUUGAGACAUAGCUGCCAGAGAGUUAAACCGAGGCAAAACAAACAAACAAAAAAACCCACAAAAAAAAAAAAACAAACCAAAAGAACCCUCACAAAACAAAAACAGAAGACAAAACACUAAAAAUUUGACAAAUUUCUAGGAUGAGUCACCUUCAUUUGUAUGUUUGAAUUUCUGUAAAUGCAUUAUUAAUUUGUUGUCAGUUUUCUUUUCACUGUGAAUUUUUCUAGCAUCCCUGGAGUAGCUGUUACAGUUUUGGGGAUAUAUCCUUUCUUCUUGCAUUGUAGGGUAUAUGCAGCUUUUUUCUCCUAUUUUGAUGCAAGAAGGCACUCUGUUUUAUAUUGCUUUUCCUGUAGUGGGGAUUUAAUAAAGUUGAAUGAAAAAAAUGAAUUGUUUGUUUC
rnacentral:lncRNA from 1 species